ACUCAACGCUAUUAUAAUUCAAAAGGGUGAGUUUAGGCUGUAAAAGCAGGCCCUACUUGCAUAGGGAUCCUUGAUCAGUCUGUUAACCCUAAACCUGUAAUCAGGAGUUU
rnacentral:sRNA from 1 species